rnacentral:tRNA from 2 species
GGCUCUGUAGCUCAGUUGGUAGAGCGCACGACUGAAAAUCGUGAGGUCACGGGAUCGACGCCCGUCGGAGCCACCC